rnacentral:tRNA from 1 species
UGGGGCGUGGGGUAAUUGGCAGCCCGACGGAUUCUGGCUCCGUUAGUCUAGGUUCGAGUCCUGGCGCCCCAG